rnacentral:lncRNA from 1 species
ACUUUCUAAUGUGCCUAAAGCAGUUAACCCAGGAUUGGAAUGAAGGUUUAACCCAAACAGAGGAGAAUGCAUAUUCAGACAGAUGGACUUUAUGUAUAUUUGUGUAGAUCCCGUUAAGGGGUGGAGGGUGUGCUGCUGGCACCCAUGUGCCUCACCUCCUUGGUGCUGUGGACAGUGGUACUGUGGUCAAGAAGACUCUUCUUAAGCACUGAGGGCAACUCUGCUUCUUGGUGCUUGGAAUGGUGACUUGGUGGCCUGGAAGGCUCCUCCUCAGUGCUGGUGAACAUUUUAUUUCAAGUGUAACUUUCAAUCCUGAUGUGUCACCUUCUUGGCUUAAGAAAUGCCUAGCAGAUUAGGAAAGCACGCUCCAGGGUAAGCCUAGAGAAAUGAGUAUCCUAAUGAAAAUAGCAAGAAAACCAUGCAGGAAACAAGUGCUAGGACUAAGUUGAUGUCCACCGACAAGUACUGAAUGGAUUCAAGACACGUAUUGGAGCCAAGAGAAAUUGGUUCCACAGCAAGAUGGCUUAAUUGCAAAUGGAAGAUCUCAAGACUGGGAGAUUCCUGGAAAUACAGGAAGAAAUUGUGGAGCUUCUUGUGACUUAGCCCCAAAUGUGACUGACUGCCCCUCCUGCUGCAUUCUAUUGGUCCUGUAGCCCACACAUAGGUUCUUAGACUUUGUCUUUUGAUAUGGGACUAAUAAGAUGUCAUUAAGAAGAGGAUAUGGGAGAUGUAAUUUUAGGCCAUCCUAGGAAAAUACAAUCUUCUACAAUUCUAUAAUAAGAAUGCUCAUUGUUUUAUAAUAUGCUUUCUUUCAUUCCUUUAAAUAAUAGAUUCCAAGAUUUAGAGUUGUUUACUAUGCUCAUAGAUAUUUCACCAGAUACUGCAAUUUCAGCAUUCUCUCUCUCCUCUCUCUCUCACACACACAUGCACACACACACACACACACACACAGACAUACACAGAUACAUACUCACACACAUACUCCCUCCUAUACCUGUCUUCUUAACUUUAUGUACUUGUAGCUAUAAGACCAUGUCUCACACAAGUAAGGUGAGUGGAAACAAUAUGUGCAUCUUAUAGACACCCUCUAAAAGUUAGAUGGGUGGGAUGUCAUGAAUUUUUCUUACCUUGCUUUCACUAGCUUGGAAAUUAUAAGAAGCAGAACAAGCAUAAAAGUCCCAUUUUUGGCAACAGUAUUUCUCCCUACCAGCCUUCAGAAAAAAAUAAAUGUGCUUUCUCUUCUGCAGUUUGCCUAUAUGUACUCUAAUUUUCCUGUCCACCAACACAGAUUGAACCUUCAUCAUAGCAACUUAUGCCACCUUAGAUAUUGUACAUUUAUGUGGUAUUUCUAAAAUCAGUGAAAUAUACAUUAUCUUAUGGCUUCAUUUCUGAAAUCAAGUGGAAUCCAAGAAAAUAGAAGAUUGAUAUGGUGUAUAAUAGAAUAUUUUAG